CUAGUUGGUGGGGUAAAGGCCUACCAAGGCGACGAUCAGUAGCUGGUCUGAGAGGACGACCAGCCACACUGGGACUGAGACACGGCCCAGACUCCUACGGGAGGCAGCAGUUAGGAAUUUUGGGCAAUGGGCGCAAGCCUGACCCAGCAACGCCGCGUGGGUGACGAGGGCCUUCGGGUUGUAAAGCCCUUUUCUGGGGGAAGAUGAUGACGGUACCCCAGGAAGAAGCACCGGCUAACUACGUGCCAGCAGCCGCGGUAAUACGUAGGGUGCGAGCGUUGCCCGGAUUUAUUGGGCGUAAAGGGCGCGUAGGCGGUCACGCACGUCCGUUGUGAAAUCGCUCGGCUCAACUGGGCGGGGUCAGCGGAUACGGCGUGGCUGGAGCAAGCUAGGGGGCAAUGGAAUUCCCGGUGUAGUGGUGGAAUGCGUAGAUAUCGGGAGGAACACCAGUGGCGAAGGCGGUUGCCUGGAGCUUUGCUGACGCUGAUGCGCGAAAGCGUGGGGAGCGAUCCGGAUUAGAUACCCGGGUAGUCCACGCCGUAAACGAUGCGGACUAGGUGUCGGGGGUAUCGACCCCCUCGGCGCCGCAGCUAACGCAUUAAGUCCGCCGCCUGGGGACUACGGCCGCAAGGCUAAAACUCAAAGGAAUUGACG
rnacentral:rRNA from 1 species